UACAGCCAUACCGCCCUGAACACGCUGGAUCUCAUCUGAUCUCCGAAGCUAAACAGGGUCAGGCCUGGUUAGCACUUGGAUGAAAAAACUUUUUGAGCAAAAACUGUUUUAC
rnacentral:rRNA from 1 species